AGGAUCAAUCCGGACCUCCAUGGAUGGUGGAGCCGAGGAGGAAGGUCCGGCGGAGGUGGUAGGAGCAGGAGGAGUGGAUGGAAGGUCUGGAUGGUCUGGAAGGUCUGGGUAGUCUGAAUCGGGCUCAGGACUGGGUGAAGGUCUGGUGGUCUGAGCGGUGAGGGUAGACUUCCUAACCUAUACCCCCUCUCUCUUCCGAAACCCCAUCCUGUGUAGGGUCCCCGCACGCGUGCGAUCAGUCCAUCGCAAAGCGCGAAAGGGCUCCUCCUCAGGAAUGGGAACCUCGUACUCCCUAAAAAGAAGGGUGAAAAUCAUGCCGUAUGGGAGGGUGAGCCUAGGUCUAUCUAGAGGCUCACACAUAUACCUAUAGAUGAGCUUAGGGAAGUUGAUUGGGGUGUCCUGAAGGAUAUAGAACAUAAGGGCUAGGUCUCUCUCAUUUACAAAAUCAAAUCUUCCUGUCUUAGGGAAGAUGGAUCUAGACAAAAUACUCAAGAGGAUCCGCACCUCAAUCGGUAGUGAGCUCGCGGAUACCUCAUCUAG
rnacentral:lncRNA from 1 species